GGGGUUGUAGCUCAGUAGUAGAGCACUUACCUAGCAUGUGUGAGGUUCCUGGGGUCAAUACCUAGCACUGCCA
rnacentral:tRNA from 1 species